UCCGAGUUGACCCCGGCAGUCUCCUGCGUGUCCCCGCCAUUACGCGCUGGCAACACAGGACAAGGGUUGCGCUCGUUGCGGGACUUGACCCAACAUCUCACGACACGAGCUGACGACAGCCAUGCACCACCUGUAUACCGACCACAAGGGGGGCCGUAUCUCUACGGCUUUCCGGUAUAUGUCAAACCGGAGGAAGGUGGGGAUGACGUUCGUCUGAC
rnacentral:misc_RNA from 1 species